rnacentral:rRNA from 1 species
AUAAAACUUAAAGGGCCGCGGUAUUUUGACCGUGCAAAGGUAGCAUAAUCAUUAGGUUUUUAAUUGAGAUCUUGUAUGAAUGGUUUUACAAAGGAAUAGCUGUCUUUAUACUUAAUUUUGAAUUUAACUUUUAAGUGAAAAGGCUUAAAUGAAUUAAUAAGACGAUAAGACCCUAUAAAGCUUAAUGUAUAACUUUUAUUAGGUUAAAUUAGAAUGAAUUAUAACGAUCUGAUGAGGGAUUACAUUGUGUUGGGGCGACAUAAAUAAAAUGAGUUGUAACUGUUUAGGUUUGGAGACAUAUGUGGGUGAUUAGGUUUUAAUUGAUCCUAGCUGUAGAUUAAAAAAUUUAGUUACUUUAGGGAUAACAGCGUUAUUUUUUUUGAGAGUUCUUAUCGAAAAAAAAGAUUGCGACCUCGAUGUUGAAUUAAAAUAUCUAUAUGAUUGCAGAAGUUAUUAGAGAAGGUCUGUUCGACCUUUAAAUUUUUA